AGUCGAGCGGAACGAUGAUAGCUUGCUAUCAGGCGUCGAGCGGCGGACGGGUGAGUAAUACUUAGGAAUCUACCUAGUAGUGGGGGAUAGCACGGGGAAACUCGUAUUAAUACCGCAUACGACCUACGGGAGAAAGGGGGCAGUUUACUGCUCUCGCUAUUAGAUGAGCCUAAGUCGGAUUAGCUAGAUGGUGGGGUAAAGGCCUACCAUGGCGACGAUCUGUAGCUGGUCUGAGAGGAUGAUCAGCCACACCGGGACUGAGACACGGCCCGGACUCCUACGGGAGGCAGCAGUGGGGAAUAUUGGACAAUGGGGGAAACCCUGAUCCAGCCAUGCCGCGUGUGUGAAGAAGGCCUUUUGGUUGUAAAGCACUUUAAGCAGUGAAGAAGACUCUUCGGUUAAUACCCGGAGACGAUGACAUUAGCUGCAGAAUAAGCACCGGCUAACUCUGUGCCAGCAGCCGCGGUAAUACAGAGGGUGCAAGCGUUAAUCGGAAUUACUGGGCGUAAAGGGAGCGUAGGUGGCUCGAUAAGUCAGAUGUGAAAUCCCCGGGCUCAACCUGGGAACUGCAUCUGAUACUGUUGAGCUAGAGUAUGUGAGAGGAAGGUAGAAUUCCAGGUGUAGCGGUGAAAUGCGUAGAGAUCUGGAGGAAUACCGAUGGCGAAGGCAGCCUUCUGGCAUAAUACUGACACUGAGGCUCGAAAGCGUGGGUAGCAAACAGGAUUAGAUA
rnacentral:rRNA from 1 species